AUACCUUUCUCGGCCUUUUGGCUAAGAUCAAGUGUAGUAUCUGUUCUUAUCAGUUUAAUAUCUGAUACGUGGACCAAUGGUCCACAGGAUAUUAAAUUAAUUUUUUAAGGGUAAGGGCUUAUUACAAUAGCUUGCUAUUGCGGUCAUCGAGUGUCGUCCAAGAGUUGCACUACUGCUCGGGCCUGGCACAACCCAC